GAGUAACACGUGGGCAACCUUUCCUAUCGCGGGGGAUAACAGCGGGAAACCGCUGCUAAUACCGCAUGUCGUCAUCGGUCGCAUGGCCGGUGAAAAAAGCAGCAAUGCACGAUGGGGUGGGCCCGCGGCCUAUCAGCUAGUCGGUGGGGUAACGGCCUACCGAGGCGAUGACGGGUAGCUGGUCUGAGAGGACGACCAGCCACACGGGGACUGAGACACGGCCCCGACUCCUACGGGAGGCAGCAGUGAGGAAUCUUCCGCAAUGGGCGAAAGCCUGACGGAGCGACACCGCGUGUGGGAUGAGGUCCUUCGGGAUGUAAACCACUGUUGGAGGGGAAGAUAGUGACGGUACCCUCCGAGAAAGCCCCGGCUAACUACGUGCCAGCAGCCGCGGUAAUACGUAGGGGGCUAGCGUUAUCCAGAUUUACUGGGCGUAAAGCGCGUGUAGGCGGCUGGUUAAGCGUGAUGUGAAAUCCUCGGGCUCAACCCGAGAACUGCAUUGCGAACUGGCCUGGCUAGAGUGCAGGAGAGGGAAGCGGAAUUCCAGGUGUAGCGGUGAAAUGC
rnacentral:rRNA from 1 species